AAUCCAUGCAUGGGACAUCUACGCAAAAGCUCCCUGUAGCGUUCCCAAGCUUCCCACAUGGAUUCAUCAUCUUCCUAUCGAAAAGAAGUAAUAUCAUUACGAAAUU